rnacentral:rRNA from 1 species
GAUGAACGCUGGCGGCGUGCCUAAUACAUGCAAGUCGAGCGAACGGACGAGAAGCUUGCUUCUCUGAUGUUAGCGGCGGACGGGUGAGUAACACGUGGAUAACCUACCUAUAAGACUGGGAUAACUUCGGGAAACCGGAGCUAAUCCCGGAUGAUAUUUUGAACCGCAUGGUUCAAUAGUGAAAGACGGUCUUGCUGUCACUUAUAGAUGGAUCCGCGCUGCAUUAGCUAGUUGGUAAGGUAACGGCUUACCAAGGCAACGAUGCAUAGCCGACCUGAUAGGGUGAUAGGCCACACGGGAACGUAGACACGGUCCAGACUCCUACGGGAGGCAGCAGUAGGGAAUCUUCCGCAAUGGGCGAAAGCCUGACGGAGCAACGCCGCGUGAGUGAGGAAGGUCUUCGGAUCGUAAAACUCUGUUAUUAGGGAAGAACAUAUGUGUAAGUAACUGUGCACAUCUUGACGGUACCUAAUCAGAAAGCCACGGCUAACUACGUG